AUUGAACGCUGGCGGAAUGCUUUACACAUGCAAGUCGAACGGCAGCACGGACUUCGGUCUGGUGGCGAGUGGCGAACGGGUGAGUAAUGUAUCGGAACGUGCCCAGUCGUGGGGGAUAACGUAGUGAAAAUUACGCUAAUACCGCAUACGAUCUAUGGAUGAAAGCGGGGGAUCGCAAGACCUCGCGCGAUUGGAGCGGCCGAUAUCAGAUUAGGUAGUUGGUGGGGUAAAGGCCCACCAAGUCAACGAUCUGUAGCUGGUCUGAGAGGACGACCAGCCACACUGGAACUGAGACACGGUCCAGACUCCUACGGGAGGCAGCAGUGGGGAAUUUUGGACAAUGGGCGAAAGCCUGAUCCAGCCAUUCCGCGUGCAGGAUAAAGGCCCUCGGGUUGUAAACUGCUUUUGUACAGAACGAAAAGGUUUCUACUAAUACUAGGAGCUCAUGACGGUACUGUAAGAAUAAGCACCGGCUAACUACGUGCCAGCCGCCGCAGUAA
rnacentral:rRNA from 1 species